rnacentral:lncRNA from 1 species
CUGAAGGUUGAGUUGAUUACCAGUAGCUCACGAUAUAAUCAUUCAUGCCUACAUAACACAGCUUUCAUAAGAACCCAAUAGGACAGGGUUCAAGGACCCUCUAAAGAAUGCCACACCUAUAGAGGCAUGGAAACUCUUUGCCACUUUCAUCUGACUAUUGAUCUAUAUCCUUUGUAAUGCCUCUUAUAAGAAAUGGGCAGAUGCUAGCAGUGUUUGUGAGAAAAACUGAUGGAUCCUGCAGAUUAACUAUGGACAGCCAAAUAUUGAGUAAAGUGAUGUCUACAACAGCAUCAGCUAUGCCUGAUAUGGUGUUAAUUCACAUUGUGAAGGUCCAAAAUCAGAAGAUGAUACAGAAAGAUUGCUCUGGUUGCCUGGUUUCUGAAGAAAUCGUGUACCCUGUCUGGAUAGUGUCUUACUUCCUAUCCACAAAGUUGUGAAAUAAUCUGGAAUUAAAUGGCAACCUAAACAACCCUAGAGUUGCCUGAACACAGAGCCAUUGCUGUGUUGAUCAUUAUAGCAGGAUUGCUAAAGUCCUAUUGCAUGCUUUAAGAUGCCUUGCGUUUGGUGAAUUGAAGCCUGAUAUGUCAACAUACUCUCUGUAAACACAGCAGCACAGAGGGCAAAGAAACACUUAUCCAGCACCACAGCUAGGACAAAAGGAAUUAUUUUGACAGUAAAUGGACUUGCAGCUUAAGUUAAGUGCAUUAAUAUUGGGAUGGUAUUAACUAUACAAAAUUGUUUCUAAGCAAAGGUUGGUAUGUACCCAAUUGUGACUAAACCAAAAGAAACAAAUCUGGAAACUGAAGUAUCAAUACGUGAAAAGCGUUCUUUUGGUAUUGGGAGUGCCAGGUGUCUUUGUUUCAUGAACUACUUCUCCGUAAUAGCAUGCAGCCAUCUUCAAGAGGUGAGAAUUUCACUUAGCGACUUAAACAGAAG